rnacentral:tRNA from 1 species
GUUAGAGUGGCAGAGCCCGGCAAAUGCAAGAGACUUAAGCCCUCUAUACAGGGGUUCAACUCCCCUCCCUAACU